GAUGAACGCUGGCGGUAUGCUUAACACAUGCAAGUCGAACGGUCUUUUCGGAGAUAGUGGCGGACGGGUGAGUAACGCGUGAGAAUCUGCCUUCAGGUCGGGGACAACCACUGGAAACGGUGGCUAAUACCGGAUAAGCCGAGAGGUGAAAGGCUAGCUGCCUGAAGAUGAGCUCGCGUCUGAUUAGCUAGUUGGUAGGGUAAGAGCCUACCAAGGCGACGAUCAGUAGCUGGUCUGAGAGGAUGACCAGCCACACUGGGACUGAGACACGGCCCAGACUCCUACGGGAGGCAGCAGUGGGGAAUUUUCCGCAAUGGGCGAAAGCCUGACGGAGCAAUACCGCGUGAGGGAGGAAGGCUCUUGGGUUGUAAACCUCUUUUCUCAGGGAAGAAAAUUGACGGUACCUGAGGAAUAAGCAUCGGCUAACUCCGUGCCAGCAGCCGCGGUAAUACGGAGGAUGCAAGCGUUAUCCGGAAUGAUUGGGCGUAAAGGGUCUGCAGGUGGCCGUGUAAGUCUGCUGUUAAAGAAUCUGGCUUAACCAGAUAAAAGCAGUGGAAACUACAGGGCUAGAGUGCGUUCGGGGUAGAGGGAAUUCCUGGUGUAGCGGUGAAAUGCGUAGAUAUCAGGAAGAACACCAGUGGCGAAAGCGCUCUACUAGGCCGCAACUGACACUGAGGGACGAAAGCUAGGGGAGCGAAUGGGAUUAGAUACCCCAGUAGUCCUAGCCGUAAACGAUGGAUACUAGGCGUGGCUUGUAUCGACCCGAGCCGUGCCGGAGCUAACGCGUUAAGUAUCCCGCCUGGGGAGUACGCACGCAAGUGUGAAACUCAAAGGAAUUGACGGGGGCCCGCACAAGCGGUGGAGUAUGUGGUUUAAUUCGAUGCAACGCGAAGAACCUUACCAAGACUUGACAUGUCGCGAACUUUCCCGAAAGGGAAGGGUGCCUUAGGGAGCGCGAACACAGGUGGUGCAUGGCGUCGUCAGCUCGUGUCGUGAGAUGUUGGGUUAAGUCCCGCAACGAGCGCAACCCUCGUUUUUAGUUGCCAGCAUUAAGAUGGGCACUCUAGAGAGACUGCCGGUGACAAACCGGAGGAAGGUGGGGAUGACGUCAAGUCAGCAUGCCCCUUACGUCUUGGGCUACACACGUACUACAAUGCUACGGACAAAGGGCAGCAACACAGCGAUGUGAAGCAAAUCUCACAAACCGUAGCUCAGUUCAGAUCGAAGGCUGCAACUCGCCUUCGUGAAGGAGGAAUCGCUAGUAAUUGCAGGUCAGCAUACUGCAGUGAAUUCGUUCCCGGGCCUUGUACACACCGCCCGUCACACCAUGGAAGCUGGUCACGCCCGAAGUCGUUACCCCAACUUUACGGAGAGGGGGAUGCCGA
rnacentral:rRNA from 2 species